rnacentral:lncRNA from 1 species
GGAGGAAGUAACUUGUGGAAUGCUGAGAAAGAAUGAAGCUAUGAAUCCUGAUUAUGCUCAAGUGUAAGGGCAAAGACUGAGGUAUGCACUGAAGAGAAAUGAAAAGUUUCCAGUGAGGUUUGUGUAGAACCCUAUUUCUGAGCUUGGCACCAGGUAGGUACAUGAGCAUGUACAUGUGUGUAUGUGCAGGUGCGUCUGGGGAUACUUCAGUGUGUGCUUUAGACAUCACCCCUGUAUCACUGUUCUAUAACACCAUGACUUUGGAAGGACCCACAUUCAGUCCCCAGAAUGAUGCAGAUAUAGAAGGCCCUUACACAGUCACUGGGAAUCAUAAAGGGGCAAAGAUUUUCCUCAUUCUUCGUAUAUUAUUUUUUGAGUGUCCAUUUUAUGCCAGGUUCCCUGCUAGGCAUUGAGGACGCCAAGACAUUUUCCCAUUUAGCACCUCUACCCCAUCCCCUUACUAGCCUCACCUUGGCCCCUGUAGAGUAGGAGGGAGAAUAAAAAACAAG